rnacentral:tRNA from 1 species
GCCUCGGUAGCUCAGCCUGGCGGAGCGCCUGCUUGGUAAGCAGGAGGUCGCGGGUUCAAACCCCGCCCGAGGCUCUA